rnacentral:rRNA from 1 species
UUGACCUCGGAUCAGGUAGGGCUACCCGCUGAACUUAAGCAUAU